UACGAAGGGGGCUAGCGUUGCUCGGAAUCACUGGGCGUAAAGCGCACGUAGGCGGAUUGCUAAGUCAGGGGUGAAAUCCUGGAGCUCAACUCCAGAACUGCCUUUAAGACUGCUUCGCUUGAAUCCGGGAGAGGUGAGUGGAACUGCGAGUGUAGAGGUGAAAUUCGUAGAUAUUCGCAAGAACACCAGUGGCGAAGGCGGCUCACUGGCCCGAUACUGACGCUGAGGUGCGAAAGCGUGGGGAGCAAACAGG
rnacentral:rRNA from 1 species